rnacentral:sRNA from 1 species
AUAAAUAAAAAAAAAUCUUCCCCACUUUAACCCUUUCUGCCCCUAUGAGAAGUAACUGAGGAUUGGCUGCUGUGUUACAACCAAGAACGUUGUUCUCCAGGCCGGAAAGCAGUUCUUUAGAAAGCUAAAGUCAUAGGACAUCAGCUCACCAGACACCCAAGGAAAACUAGGACUGUCUAAAGAGAGAUAAGACAAGAGCUCUCAUCCCUUUUGAACAGAAGCUACCACACAGGAGACAAAAUUUCUGAAAGAAACAUGCCAAAGAACUUCCUGUAGUAUUCUGGUUGAUACUGGCAGCUUCUGCUGACUCGUGCAGAUUCGGUGAAGCCUUGCUGUUUCUGUUGGAUUGAACUGCCCCUACUGAUGCAUGUUUGGUGUUUGUUAUUGAAUUGAACUGCUGGUAUCCUGACAAUGAAGAGUGAAAUUGCUCCAAGAAACUGCUUCUGAACAGCUUCUUGUCAGGAUAUUUUAAGCACAGCAAGAGAAAUGAAGCAACACAUGCAAACCCUCACAGUAUGUGCAAUUAAAGAGUGGUGUUGGAACAAAAGGAGCAAGGAUGGAUUCACAAUGACCUUUCCAGUGGUGGGCACGUAGCCCACACUAGGCUGAGAGCAUUGCUGAUCUUCACUUGUCGUGACUUCAUAGAAAACAACUUGCCCAAGAAAUUCUGGUGAUACCCUGGUUGCUUCUUGAUGCUUCUGUGGACUCGUGCUAAUUUGGGGGAGCCUCAAGGUUUCUUCUGGAUAGAACUGCUGCUACUGGCUUGUAUUUGAUGUUUUGGUCUAGACUGUUGAUAUCCUGACAACAAAAUUUGGGAUCUUCCCUACUUCUAAACAAGUCUACAACCCAUGUUUCUUAUCGUCUUUUCUAUUUCCCUGCCUCUGGUAGGUGGUGGGCUAGAAGGGAGGUUGAAGUGUUAAAGAACCCUAAUUAGGUUUUGAGAAAUCUAAACCUACACCAGGCUUUGUUUCUGAGAGGACAGGUGCUGGAGAUGGUCCUUGUAGUUGUCCUCAUCCUUUUGUUUCUCAUAAAACACUCCAAGGACGGAAAGGUCCCAGAACAAUUGUUUUGAGAAAAAUCAAUUUAGA